rnacentral:rRNA from 1 species
GAGUUUGAUCGUGGCUCAGAUUGAACGCUGGCGGCAUGCCUUACACAUGCAAGUCGAACGGCAGCGUGAUCUAGCUUGCUAGAUUGAUGGCGAGUGGCGAACGGGUGAGUAAUACAUCGGGAACGUGCCCUGUAGUGGGGGAUAACUAGUCGAAAGAUUAGCUAAUACCGCAUACGACCUGAGGGUGAAAGUGGGGGACCGCAAGGCCUCAUGCUAUAGGAGCGGCCGAUGUCUGAUUAGCUAGUUGGUGGGGUAAAGGCCCACCAAGGCGACGAUCAGUAGCUGGUCUGAGAGGACGAUCAGCCACACUGGGACUGAGACACGGCCCAGACUCCUACGGGAGGCAGCAGUGGGGAAUUUUGGACAAUGGGCGAAAGCCUGAUCCAGCAAUGCCGCGUGUGUGAAGAAGGCCUCGG